rnacentral:rRNA from 1 species
GUGGGGAAUUUUGGACAAUGGGCGCAAGCCUGAUCCAGCAAUGCCGCGUGCAGGAAGAAGGCCCUUUGGUUGUAAAGCACUUUAAGCGAGGAGGAGGCUACCGAGAUUAAUACUCUUGGAUAGUGGACGUUACUCGCAGAAUAAGCACCGGCUAACUCUGUGCCAGCAGCCGCGGUAAUACAGAGGGUGCAAGCGUUAAUCGGAUUUACUGGGCGUAAAGCGCGCGUAGGUGGCGAAUUAAGUCAAAUGUGAAAUCCCCGAGCUUAACUUGGGAAUUGCAUUCGAUACUGGUUGGCUAGAGUAUGGGAGAGGAUGGUAGAAUUCCAGGUGUAGCGGUGAAAUGCGUAGAGAUCUGGAGGAAUACCGAUGGCGAAGGCAGCCAUCUGGCCUAAUACUGACACUGAGGUGCGAAAGCAUGGGGAGCAAACAGGAUUAGAAACCCGAGUAGUCC